CUCCCUCCCCCAAGGUUGCCACCUCAGCAACUUUCCAAGGCUGGGUCUUUCUGCCAGCAGUGAGUGAGUCCCAGACUACAGAGUUUUAGACAUUCUUACGGGCUGAAUUGUGUCUUUCUAAAAUUCAUAUGUUGAAGUCCCUCAGAAUGCAACUAUAUUUGGAAAGGUGGCCUUUAUCAGGUAACUAAGGUGGAAUGAGUGCAUAUGGGUCAACCCUCACCCAAUAUGGUGGAUUUACGAGAAGAUUAGGAAGCAAGUAGGCAUAGAGGGAAAAUGGAGACUGAGGGAGAAGAGUACCAUCUACAGUCAAGGAGAGAGGUUCCUCAGAAGAUAUCAAGCCUGCGGAUACCUUGAUCUCAGACUUUUCACCUCCAGAAUUGUGAGAAAGCAAAUUUCUGUUGUUUAACCCCCCUAGACUGUAGUUCUUGUUAUGGCCGCCAGAGAAGAUGAAGACAGAAAUCUUCCAGUGUGCCCAGUACCUUGCUAUGGUUUUUCCAGUGGUCAUGUAUGGAUGGGAGAGUUGGACUGUGAAGAAAGCUGAGCACCGAAGAAUUGAUGCUUUUGAACUGUGGUGUUGGAGAAGACUCUUGAGAGUCCUUUGGACUGCAAGGAAAUCCAACCAGUCCAUCCUAAAGGAGAUCAGUUCUGGGUGUUCACUGGAAGGACUGAUGUUGAAGCUGAAACUCCAAUACUUUGGCCACCUCAUGCGAAGAGUUGACUCAUUAGAGAAGACCCUGAUGCUGGGAGGGAUUGGGGGCAGGAGGAGAAGGGGAUGACAGAGGAUCAGAUGGCUGGAUGGCAUCACCGACUCGAUGGAUGUGAGUUUGAGUUGGUGAUGGACAGGGAGGCCUGGCGUGCUGCCAUUCAUGGGGUUGCAGAGUUGGACAUGACUGAGCGACUGAACUGAACUGAACUGACCCCUGGUGCUAAAUAACUGUUUGGCCCCUUUUCCAUUUAAUUAUUCUACACUUUCUGUUAACUCAUUAAUUAAAUGCUCAUACCUCUUCAUAGCGUCUUCUCAGGUGGUGCAAGUGGUAAAGAAUCCACCUGCCAGUGUAGGAGACUCAAGGGACCCAGUUUCAGUCCCUGGGUCAGGAAGAUCCUGGAGAAGGAAAUGGCAACCCAGUCCAGUAUUCUUGCCUAGUAAAUCCUAUGCACGGAGGAGCCUGAUGUACAGUCCCUGGGGGUCUCAAAGAGUCAGAUACGACUGAGCGACUAAGCACAGCACAGCACAUUAGCAGUAUAUGUAUGGUUCUGGUUGGUAAUGAUUGGCAGUUUCUAUCUUUUUUUAUUUUUUGCCAUUCUGAUAGCUUUGUAGUGGUAUUGUGGGGGUUUUUUAUUUUUAAAAUGAAUUGCAAUAAACCCACAUAAAGUUUGCCAUCUUAACCAUUUUUAGUUUUUAUAAACUAAAAAUGAUUGAUUGCUACACCACACAGCAUGUGAGAUCUUAGUUCUCUGAAAGAUUGAAUCUGUGUCCCCUGUAGUGGAAGCAUGGAGUCUUUUUUUUUUUUUAGGUCCUAAUAAUAUAUUUAUAUUCCAUGAGAAAUAGAUUCAGAUGGUGAGUGCAGCCAUGAAAUUAAAAGAUGCUUGCUCCUUGGAAGAAAAGUUAUGACAAACCUAGACAGCAUAUUAAAAAGCAGAGACAUUACUUUGCCAACAAAGGUCUAUCUAGUCAAAGCUAUGGUUUUUCCAGUAGUCAUGUUUGGGUGUGAGAGUUGGACUGUAAAUAAAGCUGAGCACUGAAGAAUUGAUGCCUUUGAACUGUGGUGUUGGAGAAGACUCUUGAGAGUCAGACUGCAAGGAGAUCCAACCAGUCCAUCCUAAAGGAAAUCAGUCCUAAAUAAUUAUUGGAAGGACUGAUGUUGAAGCUGAAAUUCCAAUACUUUGGCCACCUGAUAUGAAGAACUGACUCAUUUGAAAAGACCCUGAUGCUGCAAAAUAUUGAAGGUGGGAGGAGAAGGGGAUGCCAGAGGAUGAGAUGGUUGGAUGGCAUCACUGACUCAAUGGACAUGAGUUUGAGUAAACUCUGGGGAUUGGUGGAUAGGGAGGCCUGGCGUGUGGCAGUCCAUGGGGUCAUAA
ensembl:lncRNA